rnacentral:rRNA from 1 species
AGUGAACGCUGGCGGCAGGCCUAACACAUGCAAGUCGAACGAGUGGCGGACGGGUGAGUAAUGUCUGGGAAACUACCUGAUGGAGGGGGAUAACUACUGGAAACGGUAGAUAAUACCGCAUACCAUCAGCUGUGCCCAGAUGGGAUUAGAUAGUUGGUGGGGGAACGGCUCACCAAGGCGACGAUCCCUAGCUGGUCUGAGAGGAUGACCAGCCACACGGGAACUGAGACACGGUCGAGACGCCUAAGGGAGGCAGCAGUGGGGACUAGUGCACAAUGGGCGCCAGCUUGAUUCAGCCAUGCCGCGUGUAUGAAGAAGGCCUUCGGGUUGUAAAGUACUUUCAGCGGGGAGGCGUUACCCGCAGAAGAAGCACCGGCUAACUCCGUGCCAGCAGCCGCGGUAAUAC